rnacentral:tRNA from 1 species
GCACCAAUAGCUCAGUUGGGAGAGCGCCAGACUGAAGAGCACUUCAGCCACUGAAAUCUGGAGGUCACCCGUUCGAUCCGGGUUUGGUGCA